AUUGAACGCUGGCGGCAGGCCUAACACAUGCAAGUCGAACGAGUGGCGGACGGGUGAGUAGUGUCUGGGAAACUGCCCGAUGGAGGGGGAUAACUACUGGAACCGGUAGCUACUACCGCAUACCAUCGGAUGUGCCCAGUGGGGAUUAGCUAUGAGGUGGGGUAACGGCUCACCUAGGCGACGAUCCCUAGCUGGGCUGAGAGGAUGAUCGGCAACACUGGGACGUAGACACGGCCCAGACGCCUACGGGAGGCAGCAGUGGGGAAUAUUGCACAAGGGGCGCAAGCCUGAUACAGCCAUGCCGCGUGUAUGAAGAAGGCCUUAGGGUUGUAAAGUACUUUCAGCGGGGAGGCGUUACCCGCAGAAGAAGCACCGGCUAACUCCGUGCCAGCAGCCGCGGUAAUAC
rnacentral:rRNA from 1 species